GCAGCCGCGGUAAUUCCAGCUCCAAUAGCGUAUAUUAAAGUUGCUGCAGUUAAAAAGCUCGUAGUUGAAUUUCGGGACCAACUAACUGGUCGUGCCUAUGGUACGUACUGGUUUUGUUGGUUUCUCCCUCUGAGGAGCUGCGAUGUCAUUAAUUUGGUGUCGUGGGGAAUCAGACUGUUACUUUGAAAAAAUUAGAGUGUUUAAAGCAGGCUAACGCUUGAAUACAUUAGCAUGGAAUAAUGAAAUAGGACGUUUGACCCUAUUUUGUUGGUUUCUAGGAUCGACGUAAUGAUUAAUAGGGAUAGUUGGGGGCAUUAGUAUUCAAUUGUCAGAGGUGAAAUUCUUGGAUUUAUUGAAGACUAACUACUGCGAAAGCAUUUGCCAAGGAUGUUUUCAUUAAUCAAGAACGAAAGUUAGGGGAUCGAAGACGAUCAGAUACCGUCGUAGUCUUAACCAUAAACUAUGCCGACUAGGGAUCGGAUGAUGUUAAUUUUUUAAUGACUCAUUCGGCGCCUUACGGG
rnacentral:rRNA from 1 species